rnacentral:lncRNA from 10 species
AAAUCCCAAACCAUAAAUCAUAAAAGGAUCAGACAGCAAAGAGUACUCAAAAGCUGAUUUAUUGAGAUCCUGAUGAGUUUGAAGUAACUAGAAACUUGAUCAAACAGUGACAAGACCCAAGAUUUGUUUUACUCUAAAGUGAGAAAUUAUCCUCAACAAAAAAACAUUUCACAGUGAGAAUCAGAAGAAUAUUUGCAUCAGGCAACUCUGGGUGCUAGAUAUUUAUUUUUUUUCUUUUUCACAUGAACUAUAAAAACUUACCACAAAAGACUGAUCUCCACAACUGCUUAUACUCUAGGAUUAUUAUACAUUGCACUGUUCUUGCUGAUACUCCAAAGACAUGUAGAAAAUAGAAAGGUAAGUUUGCAGGAGGAAAAAAGAACAAUGGAAUGAAGAAGCAAACAGGGAGUUAAAAUAACUCCUUGGAAUAGUAGAAUCAGGAAAGCAAAGGUAAAGCAUUAAAGUCUAAGGGCUGCAUGACUCCUAAGGGGAAAAUGCAUGUAUUUCUUUUAUUUUGCACUGAGAUUAAAUUUGCUGAUUUUUUUU